CACGUAGUUAGCCGUGGCUUAUUCAAGAGGUACCGUCUUCUGCUCUUCCCUCUUAAAAGAAGUUUACAACCCGAAAGCCUUCCUCCUUCACGCGGCGUUGCUGGGUCAGGCUUGCGCCCAUUGCCCAAUAUUCCCCACUGCUGCCUCCCGUAGGAGUCUGGGCCGUAUCUCAGUCCCAAUGUGGCCGGUCAACCUCUCAGUCCGGCUACUGAUCGUCGCCUAGGUGGGCCGUUACCCCGCUACUAGCUAAUCAGACGCGAGGCCAUCUUCCAGCGAUAAAUCUUUGACAUUCAAACCAUGCGAUUCAAAUGUGUCAUGCGGUAUUAGCAGUCGUUUCCAACUGUUGUCCCCCUCUGGAAGGCAGGUUCCUCACGCGUUACUCACCAGUCCGCCACUAAGCAUUCCUCUCCAUUGUCCGAAAACUCUUUCAAGGGUGCUCCGUUCGACUUGCAUGUGUUAAGCACGCCGCCAGCGUUCGUCCUGAGCCGACGGAUCAACUCUCUGUACG
rnacentral:rRNA from 1 species